AUUGAACGCUGGCGGCAGGCCUAACACAUGCAAGUCGAACGGUAACAGGAAGCAGCUUGCUGCUUUGCUGACGAGUGGCGGACGGGUGAGUAAUGUCUGGGAAACUGCCCGAUGGAGGGGGAUAACUACUGGAAACGGUAGCUAAUACCGCAUAACGUCGCAAGACCAAAGAGGGGGACCUUAGGGCCUCUUGCCAUCGGAUGUGCCCAGAUGGGAUUAGCUAGUAGGUGGGGUAACGGCUCACCUAGGCGACGAUCCCUAGCUGGUCUGAGAGGAUGACCGGCCACACUGGAACUGAGACACGGUCAAGACUACUAAGGGAGGCAGCAGUGGGGAAUAUUGCACAAUGGGCGCAAGCCUGAUGCAGCCAUGCCGCGUGUAUGAAGAAGGCCUUCGGGUUGUAAAGUACUUUCAGCGGGGAGGAAGGGAGUAAAGUUAAUACCUUUGCUCAUUGACGUUACCCGCAGAAGAAGCACCGGCUAACUCCGUG
rnacentral:rRNA from 1 species